UGUUCUGUAACUUAGUUGAUUAAAGCGCCGGACUAACUAUGCGUAAUCGUGGGUUCAAAUCCCAUUAAAAUAA
rnacentral:tRNA from 1 species